rnacentral:sRNA from 1 species
ACCUGGAAAUAGCAAUACGAUCCUCAGAAGCCGGGAACUCACCGAGGCGUCAACCGAACUUUGGGGAUCUAACCCGAUAUAAGCACUGAAUGUUUUGGGGCCGAGUCAAACGGUAGUCCAGCGGCAUAUCUGGAGUGGCAAACUUUCUGGCCACUCGUACCUUGCUUUGAAGGCUGCUGGGGGCCAACCAUUUUUACGAAACGCUACAAAAAUACAUGGUAUCCCCAGCCCUCAAAAUGAUGCUGGAGAAUGUUGAACGAAAUCACCACCUCCUCUGCAGGUGUAAUAUUGGAAUAUCUAUGGGGUCGUUUAGCUGAAUCGAUGACAACAGAUCAACUCUAGCCUUUUUCUUUUUUUAGUUUUGCCUAUCGUUAUUAGCUCUGCCAGGGAUGCUAUACUCUUGCUUUGCUUCGCUGAAACAGUUGACCCUAUCAGUCGUGAAAUGAGGCAUGGGAUCACAUUAUCAUGCGGAACGAUGCUUUUGCCACUAGUAAGAACUAGAAAUAAAUAGAAAUGAUGAUACAAGCGGAUCUUGGUUAAAAUCUUGAUGCAGGGAGUUGGUUGGCGAAUUGGUCAAUUGAUUCAACUCAAGGCCCUGCUCGGUUCUUUUUUCGGUGCCUUCCUUUGAUGUGUUAGUUAAGUUUUACGAAACAACUUUGCAAUUAUUUCUUUGAGUGCUCGUUUGAUGUAAUUACGUAUGUACUGUACAUAUUAUUCUCUUUCUGUUGAACAAAUUUCAUCCACACAAGCUUCG